AAAACCUCAUCUUUGAUCUACGUCAUCCGGGCGUCGAUCAGUGUUUCUAACACGGGCGUCCGCCCAGAUGAGGAGAGAGU
ncrna:unclassified sequences RAGATH-10 RNA